rnacentral:RNase_MRP_RNA from 1 species
GGCGAAAAUCCCCGGGCAUUGCGGCGGAGAGCGCCAGCCUUCGCGGGCGGGACCUUCGGUCGGGCGCUCGGCAACGAGCGCCGCGGAGCAGCUAGCCAUAGCACAGUCAUGUGACCAGCGGGGAAACAACCCGCCAACUCAACGGGGUUUACUCUCGAC